rnacentral:rRNA from 1 species
UACGUAGGGGGCAAGCGUUGUCCGGAAUCAUUGGGCGUAAAGAGCGUGUAGGCGGUCCGGUAAGUCGGUUGUGAAAGUCCAGGGCUCAACCCUGGGAUGCCGACCGAUACUGUCGGACUAGAGUCCGGAAGAGGCGAGUGGAAUUCCCGGUGUAGCGGUGAAAUGCGCAGAUAUCGGGAGGAACACCCAUGGCGAAGGCAGCUCGCUGGGACGUUACUGACGCUGAGACGCGAAAGCGUGGGGAGCAAACAGG